ACGAAGCGAAUCACUGGAGGUUUUUGCUUUGUUUGCUUUUGUGACUUUUCAAGAUUCGUGGACGAUUGCCUGGUUAUGUUGUAGAAAUAGCCAUUAGUUUUAAUUGUAAAAAUAUUAUUGAGGAUUCAAACUUUAUGCGAUUCAACGUGAAGCAUCGGAGUCACCUGAAACAUGCGCCAGGUUUGAAGUUGUGGUGAAUGGGAUGACUUCCUUCGCAGAAGCUCGUUGCAUUUGGCUGUUAUUUAGAGUUUUAGUUCACAACAGUAUUCUGCCAUAAGAAGAUUCUCGUGAGUACAAUACCUUCUUUAUCGAACGCCCCAAGAAACUUUCACAUUAUUAUACGCAAAUUAUAUUUUGAAGCCCGGAAAUUUUUUCUAAAACAACUUUGGUAAGAAAAGCGCUCGCACUCCACGUUCGUUUAGUCACCAGUUUGGCAUAAUAACGAAAGAUACACCACUGGUGAACUUUGUCAGGUGAUCUACGUGGCUAUUUGAAAAAUGCACGGUUUCUUAGACACCAAGUUUUUCUGGCCCAAGAAACAUGUUGUAAACGGUAACUGUAUUCAGAAAGACGUUGGCAUGGCAUGCCCGCGGUAUUUAAAGGACCUUGGUAUCCCCAAAUGAUGUUUGUCAUCCGUAAGAGGAUGACGAGGCUUAUGUUAAUUUGUUCCUCCACUAACCUUUCUUGCAAAGCAUCGCCAAAUUAGAUCUUACAAGGCGCCGGCUCCUCAUAGUUCAUCAUACUCAACGGCCACUUUAGAACGAGGGUUCGCGCUGUUA